CCGGGAAGAGAGCUUGAAGCAUUAGGCAGAAUGGGCAGGCAGCAUGAAACAGGGAUAUAUGUGUCACACACUUCCCUCGACAUGAGAAGAAGGCAAUCUCACAUGGGCCUUCAAGAUAGUUUUGAAUAGAACUGGUGACAACAGACAUCUUCAUUUUAUUCUUGAUCUCUGGGAUGGAGAUCACAAGUAGGCAGAGAAGUAGGCAGAGAGAGAGGAGGAAGAACGCUACCUGACAAGCAGAGAGCCCGAUUCAGGGCUCCAUCCCAGGACUCUGGGAUCAUGAUCCGAGCCGACGGCAGAGGCUUUAACCCGCUGAGCCACCCAGAUGCCCCAAUUUUCCACUAUUUUUAAUACAAGAUGCUAUAAAACAGUAAUGUUUUAUCCUCUUAUAUUUUAAAAAGGGAUACUAAUCAAAAAAAUAAAUACUAAUCACUUUCUUGUUC